ensembl:lncRNA
AUGGAGAGAAGACCUCCAAGGUGGCCCAAAGUGGCUUUCGAGGAGGUGGCGGCGCCUCCUGAGGAGAGCAGCUCCUCGGUGGAGCCCACCACGGUGACCAUGGUGGAGGAGCUGCAUCUCAAUCCCGCAUGGAUUCCUGAUAAGGCAAAAGACAUCCUGGAAUUCGUCCAAGUUUUUGCCAGCAACCCCACAAAGUUCCAGGACAGGGAGCAAAUAUUGGAAUUCCUCCACAACAUCUGCAUCCUGUGCCGGUAUUCCAAACUCCACAAUUUCUCCGAGGAGCUGAGGGAUUUCUGCAUCAGAUCCCAGCUGGCGGAGACGGUGCAGCUGCUGCUGGAUUUGCAGCCCAAAUACGUGAUCAAAGACCGGGUGCACCGCUUCGCCAUGCUCGCCUUGGCCGAGCUCAGUGCCAUCGGGAUCGUGCUGGAGACCAAAAAAGUUUUAAGACUUUGCUUCAACAGCGUCUUUUUACUCCCUCCGUUCUACGAAAUGUCGCGCCUGGAAGUGACGCUCUGUACUCGGACCCUGCGCACACUGGACACCAUGCUGGAGGUGAUGGUGCUCAGCUCUCCUGCCCCCAAAGUCGCCGAGGUGCUGCAGGACAUGUUGGAGAUGCUCGUGCAGUACCUGCUCUCCAACUUUCUGGUAACGCAGGAGAGGGUCGUGGGCAGGAUUAAGGCGCUGGGCCAUUUGCUGGACAGAUUUUUCACCAAGCAGACCGAUGAAGAUGAGGACAACGUCUUUGCCAGGGGACAGAUCCAGAUCCCAGUCCUGGGGAAGCUGCUGGGCCAUCUGUUUUUUAGGCUGUACCGGCGAGAAAACAGAAUCAAUAUUGUGGUGAAUAUUCUCUGCUGCCUGAUGACCUUCAUCUAUGCGCAGAAAGGUGACCCAAUGCCAGAGGGUGACAUCCAGCCCCCGGAACAUUGGGAAUUUGAGAUCGCCUCCUGGGUGAACGCUCCCAAUGCCUGGAGAGUUCAGGCCUUGGGGCGAUACCUCCGGCCUGCGGAGAGGACGGGAGUCGUCCUUGCGGCCAUCGAGCUCUUGGGACGCCCCGCCGUCCUGGGCGAGAAACCCCCGAUGGAGUUCCUGGAGGAGGCCAUGAAAUACCCUGAGGUGUGGCUGAUGGAUGUACCAAAGAUCGUGACGCACAUCUUCGCUUCUUACGACGAGAACAACGCGACGACCGCCUGCAGCUUUCACUCCCUCCUUCUCCUGAUGGUGAAUAAGAGCCCUGAGCAAGCCGUCGCUGCAGCUCUGGAGGCCACGCCGAAUUUUAGCUACAAAAUGCAUCUGUGGAAGGCGAUGUUCUCCAUGCACCAGACGCUGGAGAAGGUCCUGAAGGAGCUGGAAAUCCACAUCCGGGAGCGCCGUAGCAAAAAAUUCACUCAGCAGCAGAAGAAUUGCUUCUCUUUCUUAUCUAUGCUGGCCUACGGUGACGUGCAGGAGAGCAAAGUGAGGCCACUCUAUGAAAACCUGCACCUUCUCAGUCAUCCAAAGAUAGGAAUGGUCCCUCUGGUGCUCAGGGCUCUGGACACGCUGUCGGAGAGCGCCGAGACGGCAAAAAAAAUGAAGAGCCUCCUGCCCGAGGUGGUGAAAUUCCUGGGGCAUCGUUCUUGGCACGUUUCCAUGAUGGCCCUGGACAUUUUGGACAAUGUGCUGGGGCUGCUGAAGAAGAAGGAGGCCAGCAGCGUGGCGGUGAACGUGGCGCAGAGGCUCUGGUGUCUGUUUGAUGCGAAGGAAGCCUGCUUGCGGGAGCGCUCCAUCUCCCUCUUCGGAGAGCUCCUGGGCAAAACGGUGUGGAGGGACAAGAAAGCCAUGAGAAGAAACUCAUGGGAGACCCUGGUCCGGCUUGUUCUUCACAUGAGCGACAUGGUGCCCAGCGUGGCCAAGGCUUCCAAAAAUGCCGUCCUGGCCGUGGCGGAGCUCCUCAGCUGGGAGGAGCUGAAGCAGCUGGCGCAGAGGGAGCAGAUGUGUAUGAUGGGCGAGUGCUUGCUGGCCAAGGACAGCCGCAGAGUUGAACAAUUCGUGCAGGACACCAAACCUUACCUGCUGAACUCUCAGGCCCCCAUACGAGAAGCGGCUCUCCGGUUCAUCAGGUUGGCCGCGUGGCACCUGACGGAGCAGAACGAGGACGCCCUGACCGCCGUCCUCGGGGGACUUAAAACGAUGAAAGAAAGAGAGAAGGAUCCCUCCAUCCGUUCCCUGGCGGAUCAGACCGAUUUGAUCCUGAAAUCUCUGCAGGAUCGCCAAAAAUCGGGAUUUUCGCUGCGCUCGCUGUGCUGCUGCGUUGCUGAGCGCCCGGGGACGCAAAUUCCCAACAUCCAGGAAAUCAUGAGGUGUGCAAAGGAUUUUUAAAGUCAGGAGAGAGGUAUCCCUCCAUUCGUUCCUUGGCGGAUCUGACCGGUUUGAGUCUGAAAUCUCUAAAAAAUCAGCAAAAAUUGGGAUUUUUCCUGUGCUCACUGUGCUGCUGAGCGCCCGGGGACGCAAAUUCCCAACACCCAGCGAAGCACGAGGUGUGCAAAGGAGAGAGAAGGGCGGGAAACGUGAGGGGAGAAAAUGGCGGGAAACGUGAGGAGAGAAAAUGGCGGGAAACGUGAGGGGAGAAAAUGGUGGGAAACGUGAGGGGAGAAAAUGGCGGGAAACGUGAGGGGAGAAAAUGGGUGGGAAAUGUGAGGGGAGAAAAAGGGCGGGAAACGUGAGGGGAGAAAAAGGGAGGGAAACGUGAGGGGAGAAAAAGGCGGGAAACGUGAGGGGAGAAAA